UACGUAGGGUGCAAGCGUUUAAUCGGGAAUUACUGGGCGUAAAGCGUGCGCAGGCGGUUUUGUAAGGUCUGUCGUGAAAUCCCCGGGCUCAACCUGGGAAUUGCGAUGGAGACUGCAAGGCUAGAAUCUGGCAGAGGGGGGUAGAAUUCCACGUGUAGCAGUGAAAUGCGUAGAGAUGUGGAGGAACACCGAUGGCGAAGGCAGCCCCCUGGGUCAAGAUUGACGCUACAUGCACGAAAGCGUGGGGAGCAAAC
rnacentral:rRNA from 1 species